rnacentral:rRNA from 1 species
CAGCCGCCGCGGUAAUACGUAGGGUGCAAGCGUUAAUCGGAAUUACUGGGCGUAAAGCGUGCGCAGGCGGUUUGUUAAGACAGAUGUGAAAUCCCCGGGCUCAACCUGGGAACUGCAUUUGUGACUGGCAAGCUAGAGUCUGGCAGAGGGGGGUGGAAUUCCGCGUGUAGCAGUGAAAUGCGUAGAUAUGCGGAGGAACACCGAUGGCGAAGGCAGCCCCCUGGGCCAACACUGACGCUCAUGCACGAAAGCGUGGGGAGCAAACAGGAUUAGAUACCCCGGUAGUCCCUGUCUCUUAUAC